UCCACUGAACUGUGUCUCCUGCCUGUUUAACGGCGGGGAGAAGACACUAUAUGGCAGCGUGCUCCUCCCUCUCCCCAGCCAGGCAGCCUCAUCUGUCAACCAUUAGUUAAUCAGGGCGGGUAACGCACAAGGAGCGCAGAAAACUGGCCCAGCGCGUGUGACCCAGAGGACAGCUUCACCUCUGAGAGCAGAGCAGGAGGAGGGCAAGGACCCAGGGGACCGACGGUGUCCUCCACUCUGCACUCCACUGCCAGGCUCACUCUACUCAACACCUUCUCAGGAUUGGCAGGCUGCAGUCGCGGGAUGACUCCGCCCAUUCCAUCCCAGAGGACAGCUUUGUCAGUGUCACUGUGGGGAAAAGAAGAUGUUUGCGGAGCUCAGAGGACUUUACUGCUGCUGUCAAAGCUCUACUCAUGUCCAAAGAUGUUGCCUCAGAAAACAUCUGAAAGCAGCAUCUGGUUUGAUGUCUCCAAAGCCUCCUGGACAAGCCAAAAUCUACAAGAUACAGCAAUCAACUAUUGACCAAUACAACUAAUGAAUUGCAUCAUUUGGUUUGAUUUAACAUCAAAUAAACAAUCCCCAAAGGGCCCACAUGUAACAUUAGCCGCUUGCUCUGGUUUCAAACCUAAGCUAUGACAAGAACCAUGCUUGAAGAACUGGGGCCGAGGGAACCUCGGAGUCUCCAGGUCCUAGCUAGUUCCAGUUGCUAGACUGGCAUAUGGGCUGGAUCAGGAAACACAAGCUCAAUGAUGUCAUGACCAUCUGACCCCAGGGUGACAGGUUUGGGGAAUUUGUCUGCAAGUGGCCUCAGGCCAAAGUCAAGUAUGUCUAUGUUGUGCAUGUGGAUUUCAUUUGAACCAAUGCGAUCUCUCCAACCUAGAUUGCUCUCCUUGGGAACCCUCACUCACAGCAGGAAAUGGUUUUCAUUAGCAACAAAAUAGGCAUAAAUUACUCAAAUGUUUGCCAAUUCAUCACACACUGCAUUAUUGUUGGUUAAUGUUGCUUCACACACAUUUUUUUGCAAACGUUUUUUAAAACAAUCAUCAUUACUUCAAAUGUUUACAUUGUUGCUAAUCUGUUUUGUGUGGAACUUUACUGCUCAUAAACUGUUUGACCACCAAAAUCUGUGCAAUAAAUUUCUAUGAUUUUCA